ACAUCAGUGCUGGCGCAAUGGUAGCGCGCGAGACUUCUAAUCUCGAGGCUGUGGGUUCGAGUCCCACGUAGGGUA
rnacentral:tRNA from 1 species